rnacentral:rRNA from 1 species
GACGAACGCUGGCGGCGUGCUUAACACAUGCAAGUCGAACGGUGAAGCCCUUCGGGGUGGAUCAGUGGCGAACGGGUGAGUAACACGUGAGCAACCUGCCCCUGGCUCUGGGACAACCACUGGAAACGGUGGCUAAUACCGGAUACGACCCGCCUCGGCAUCGAGUGUGGGUGGAAAGUUUUUCGGCUGGGGAUGGGCUCGCGGCCGAUCAGCUUGUUGGUGAGGUGAAGGCUCACCAAGGCGACGACGGGUAGCCGGCCUGAGAGGGCGACCGGCCACACUGGGACUGAGACACGGCCCAGACUCCUACGGGAGGCAGCGGUGGGGAAUAUUGCACAAUGGGCGAAAGCCUGAUGCAGCGACGCCGCGUGAGGGAUGACGGCCUUCGGGUUGUAAACCUCUUUCAGCUCCGAAGAAGCGAAAGUGACGGUAGGAGCAGAAGAAGCACCGGCUAACUACGUG